CUGAAUAACUACGCUGAUCGCACGAGCUCGUCUCGGCGACAUAUCCUUCAAGUGUCUGCCUUAUCAACUGUCGAUGGUAGUUUAUUGGACUACCAUGGUUGUAACGGGUAACGGAGAAUUAGGGUUCGACUCCGGAGAGGGAGCCUGAGAUACGGCUACCACAUCCAAGGAAGGCAGCAGGCGCGCAAAUUACCCACUCUCAGAACGAGGAGGUAGUGACGAAAAAUAACGAGACAGUCUUCUAUGAGGUCUGUCAUCGGAAUGGGUACAAUUUAAACCCUUUAACGAGGAUCUAUUGGAGGGCAAGUCUGGUGCCAGCAGCCGCGGUAAUUCCAGCUCCAAUAGCGUAUAUUAAAGUUGUUGCGGUUAAAAAG
rnacentral:rRNA from 1 species